rnacentral:rRNA from 1 species
UCCAGACUCCUACGGGAGGCAGCAGUAGGGAAUCUUUCACAAUGGGCGAAAGCCUGAUGGAGCAACGCCGCGUGCAGGAUGAAGGCCUUCGGGUUGUAAACUGCUUUUAUAAGCGAGAAAUAUGAUGGUAACUUAUGAAUAAGGAUCGGCUAACUACGUGCCAGCAGCCGCGGUAAUACGUAGGGGGCAAGCGUUAUCCGGAUUUACUGGGUGUAAAGGGAGCGCAGACGGCAGUGCAAGUCUGGAGUGAAAGCCCGGGGCCCAACCCCGGAACUGCUCUGGAAACUGUGCGGCUAGAGUACUGGAGGGGCAGGCGGAAUUCCUAGUGUAGCGGUGAAAUGCGUAGAUAUUAGGAGGAACACCAGUGGCGAAGGCGGCCUGCUGGACAGUAACUGACGUUGAGGCUCGAAAGCGUGGGGAGCAAACAGGAUUAGAUACCCCUGUAUA